rnacentral:lncRNA from 1 species
GGGGAGGGAGGAAGCAAGAGAGGAUUCUUAAUCCUGGGAGCAGGAAUGAGUGCAGAAAAUGCCCUGGGAACUUAAGAUUCCCCCGGUUCAUGUCAGCGCACAGCAGCCCAUAUAUAACCCUGGGCAAGCUUAAUCCUCGCUUCCCCGGCUUAUCUCAGCCUCACAUUCGUGGGCUCACCAGCCCGGAGUCUCUUUGGAUGUUGGCCAGGCCUGCUGGGAAUGGUAAGAGCUGAGACAGGGACAGAAACUCACGUCCUUGCAUGUUGGAAUGAGGCCUCCUUCCUCUCCCACUUUCCUGGCCUUUAGAUUUUCCUCCUGGCAUUGGCACGUAGGCUUCCUGGCCUCACAUCUCUAAUCUUUUGAAGAAGGGAGACUCUGAUCUCAGGUUUGCAGGAGGCUGUGUCAGCGAUGCAGAUGAUUCGAGGUGAGCAGAGGCAGAAUGGUAGUAGUUGUACUUUCUCUUUUGGUUGUUUGGUGACGGGGUUUCACAAUCCCUAACUCAGGCUGGCCUUGAACUCUUUAUGUAGCUUGGGCUGGGUCUGAGCUUGGCAACCCUCCUGCUGCCGCUUUUGGACUCGGUUCCAAAUCCUGACAUUUCAGGCUUAUGCCAACAAGGCUGGCUUAGGUGUCACUUUGAAAUCCCGGCUGCAGUCUUGUGAGUUUAAAACCUUCCCCGAGUUUCUCUUUUCCUAGCUAACUUGGAUUUUUAUGAGGAAUGGGAAGGUCUCAUGAGAGCAAACGAUUCUGGGAAGCUGACAGAGGCCAUGUUGGGGAUCUUGGGCUUGUACUGGAUGUGUGGGCAGGCAGGUGGCGCCUCUAUCCUUCUCCUCUCUCGCCUUUUCUCUGGGUUGGGUUUACAGCUAUGACCCGCCCUCCCCUGACCCCUAGGUUUCCCCUUUAGAACAGCUGUAAAGGUCACAGCUUGCUUUUGAAGAUACGUGGUAUUUCUAGAAUGGCUUCCAUUCUUUGGACAAGAAGCUGAGUUGUACCUAACCUUAACUCCCUUCCUCUUCCUCUCACAUUCUUUCUGCCCCUUCCUCUGCCAUGUUCCCUGACCGUGGAGGAAGUGAUAGAGAGACCAUCUAUGACUGGUCACUCAACAGGAACCUAUUCUUAGUACGUUUGACUGAGUUACAGUUAAGCAUCUCUAUAGCCAUCUGUGACCAUCACAAAGACAAGCUUCUCUGGCCAACAGGGACAGCAGCGCUCACCUAUGGGCAUCAACGGUUAGUUAGAGGGUGAUCUGAUGGGCACAUCAGUUUAGCCAAAACAGCAGAAGUAGCUUUUCCACUCCACCCCAUGACCUCCCCAGCCUCAGGCUUUUGGCUUGAUUUGUGACCCAGACAUGAAUUUUGUCCUGUAAAUUAGGUAUCAAAUAUAAUCAGGCGGGAAACAGUUGUUCAACCCCCCAUAACAGGCUUGUCACUGAUGCACCAUUGACUCGUCAGGCUUGGCCAGGCAGUAUUAUUACACACAGAGACCAUAGCUGAGUAUGACUCCUCCUCUUGGGAAUUCUCCCCUAGGAGCCUUGCAUACCUCCGAGGGCUAGCCAGUAAGAAGGAAGCUUCCAGCCCAGGUCUAGCCUGAAUUCUUCAUGUCCUGUAAUCAAGGCCCAUUGGUGUCUUUGGUGAUAGGUAAUUAGGUAAUAAAGUCUAGUGCUACUAGUUCUGGUGCAGAGCUAAUAGCAGUGACAACUUCCUGUAGUGUUCUGGGGGCCUCAGGGACCUCCCUGACCAAGUGGUGAGGCAGUAUCCCACCCCUGGUACGGGACUAUUUCUUUAAUAACCUAUGGCUCUUGGGAGCAUCUUUAUCUACCUCAUUGAAACACAUAAAAAUGAAAAGCAACACAACACACUUUUUUAUUAGUAUUUCAAAUAUCAGAUUCCUUUAUGGCACCCCCCCUCCCCACCAGCUUCCCCCUUCCUCUUGUCUCCUUGUCCAGAGUUGUGUGACUUCUUUUCUACUUUUUUUUUUUUUCUGAUAAUAUCCUAGGGUUAUACAUUUUCACUUAGUUUAUUUCUUUUCUCCACCCAAAAGUUGCUUUUCCAAGUGUCCUGGGCUAUAUCUUUUAUAUUUUAGUUUUAUUAUAAAGGGUGAUAUAAAGCCAUUUUUACCGAAGCACACAUUAUACUUUGAGGCUACUGCCACCCCCAUACGGCCUCUCUCUUUCUCUCCCUCCCAUAAUGCACUUUGUUUUCUUUUUAUUUGACAAUAUACCCACAGCCCAAUCCCUUUUUAUUCACAGUACCAGGGGGUCGAAUCCAAGGCUUUGAAUAUGCUGGGUAGAUAAGAGCUGUAUGAGCUAUAAUCCCAACCUGUAAUCCUACUUUAAAUAAGGUAUUUCAAGUGUGGAUAUGUAAUUUAUUUAAUUUCACCUCUCUUGAUAGGAAUUUAGAUGAUUUUCAAUUCUUACCUCAAUGGGAAAAAUCGAAUAUGCUUUCCCCAUAAGUCACGUGUGCCCAUUUUUAGCAUGUAUAGUCAUCAGGACUUCUCAGUUAUUUCUGAAGUUUGUAUGUAAUAUGAAGUGAGUGAAUUGAAAGAUAUCUGUUAUGUUCUUACCUUGGACAAAUAUGGAUCUCUGACUGUUUUCCUGAUGGUUUGUUUUAGAUCAUUUUUUUUUCUUUCUUUCUUUCUUUCUUUCUUUCUUUCUUUCUUUUUUUUUUUUUUUUUUUUUUUGGUUUUUCGAGACAGGGUUUCUCUUUAUAGCUCUGUCUGUCCUGGAGCUCACUUUGUAGACCAGGCUGGCCUCGAACUCAGAAAUGCCUCUGCCUCCCAAGUGCUGGGAUUAAAGGCGUGCGCCACUAUGCCCGGCAGAUCAUUUAUUUUUUUAAUUGAAAAAUAAAAAUAAAAUUUAAGUGUAUAAGUAUUUUGUCUUCAUGUAUGUCUGUAUACCACAUGGGUGCCUGGUGACCAUGAGGCCCAAAGAGUGGCAUCUGAUCCUCUGGGACAGAAGGUUGUGAGCCUCUAUGUUGGUGCUGGGAAUUGAACCUGUGUCCUCUCAAAGAGCAGCCAGAACUCUUAAAUGCUUAGCCAUCUUUCCAGCCCUCUAAAUGAUUUCUUGUUGGUAUAAAUGAGUCAGUAACAAAAGUUGUAUGUACAUUUCUGCUACAUGUCUCUGCACAUAGAGGCCAGAAGGCAACAUUAGGUGUCUUCUUCAGUCUUUCUCUACUUUGAGAAAGAGUCUCUCACUAAACUGGAGCUGGCUGAUUUGGCUAGAGUAGCUGACCAGUGAGCCCCAGGGAUCUACCUGCUUAUCUCCUCUUCUCCAGCUCUGGGAUUGCAAGUGUUCCCGAUCAUAUCUGGCUUUUGCAGGGGUGCUGGAGAAAGGAACACAGGUCUUCAUGCUUGGACAGGAAAUAUUCACUGACCAGGACAUUCUGCUGGUCCCUAAAUAUCCUCUUUGGACUGGCUCGUUUUUUAAAUCAUUCCUUAGCACAGUUUCCUAAAAUUGGCUUAACUAUUCUGAAAAUUGCUGUAUUAUUAAUUUCCUGUUAAUGGGAUAAAGUACUGUGACGAAGAUAACUUGUAGAAGAGAGAGUUUGCAUUUGGGCUUAUGGUUCCAGAGUGGUGAGCCCAUCACCACAGGGAGGCACGGCAGCAAGCCUCCCUCAUGGCCACAGAAGCAGGAAGCUGAGGGAUCGAUCACAGCUCAACUGCAAGCAUAAAGCAGAGAGAGCUGCAAAUCACGUGAGGCUAACGAUUGUGAAGCUCAGUUCCAGUGCCACUUCCUUCAGCAAGGUCACACUUCCCAAGCCUUCCCAAACAGUGCCACCUACUGUACACCUGGUGUUCAUGUAUCUGAGCCUGUGAGGGACAUGUCUCAUUUAAAUCACCACAGUCUUUAAGGCUCUGGACCUUUAUUGCUGAUUCAUAGUCAGAAUAUAAAAUUUCCAUUCUUAUACUGCACCUGAGUGCCCAUCUGUCCGCAUGCUGCUAACAUUUUUACCAAGACAGAAACAAAGAGGUGCUGAGAUGGUAUGUGAAACAGUGACUUAUUGUACUAAUUCUUUUAGUUAGCUAUUAUACUUGUUUCUUUACCUCGUGAAUUUCACAUCACCCAUUCC